CCCCUUCUUUUCCAAGGAAAAGUUGGGGUUUUUUGUUUGCUUUGCAAGGUCUUCAUUACUUCCUCAGCUCUCAGCAGACCCUGCUCUCAGACCUACAUUGUGGAAGCCGGGACAGCAUUGAGCAGGGACAGCAGCCUGCUCUCCCUCCCCUCAGAGGCAGGGGUUCUGCGGCCACCCAGGAGGAGGUGGCUCUGGUGAGAGAGUUGCUGGCUGGGCCUAGCCCCUCUCCUCAGUGGCAGGCAGCCUUGGGUCCCCUAAGGCAGACAGAACUCCGCCUGGGCCUUUUCUGCCCUUUGCUGCUGCAGCUUCUUCCUGGCUGAGGACAGAGGUCAAAUGCUCAGACACCCACGUGUAUACACAGCACCCAUGUGCCCUGCACCUGCACACAGUGCACAUUGUGGCCGUGCUCCUCAAACUCAGGUGCACCAGAAUCACCUAGAAGCUUAGGGGGAUGUGAGGCUCCACUGCUUUCUGAUACUGUUGGUCUGGUGAGGAUGUGUAUUCUGAGCACAGGCCCAGGCACCGCUGCUGCUGCUGCUGCUGCUGUUGUCAGGCUCUGAGAACUGCUGCUCCGGAGAUGUCCACAUGUGCACGCGUAAAAGGCACUGUCAUGCACAGCAAAUUCUGCAGAACAGCAAGAGGAGCGAGGCACCUCCAAAGCUGUGGACCGGUCUUAGGGAUUCCUCGGCCUAAGAACGCAUCGUUGCAAUAUGCCUGCAGCAGAGCCUCCAGGCCCAUGUUCAAAGGAUGA
rnacentral:lncRNA from 1 species